UGGUAAUGCAUGUCAGAUGGUGAUUAUAUAUUCAUGUAAAUGAACACAACUGGUUUAUGGGAUUGCUCCAAUAUAUCCCAGGACAUUAGAACUGCACAUUUCUAAUAUGUUGCUUAAUUUUGCAUUCUUAUAAAGUUGUUCCUGGGCUAUAUAUCAGAGACAGAACCUAGCCUAGUCUUUUCAGACAUCCAUUUGCUUUUAGCUUGAUGCAAGAUGAAAUUAGUGAUUGAUGUUUUCAUUUCAUUUUUUUCUCCAUUGCGUGUUAUCUUGGUUAGAUGUUCUACUUAUAUUCUAGCUUUUGAUUAUGAUUUCUUCAACGGAUGGUGGGAAGUUUUUUAAAAACAGUUACAGGUUAAAUGAAUUUUCUCCCCGGAAAAAAUAACAGCUUAUACCAGUCAAGACGAUCUGCAUGUAGCCAAGUUAGUUAUGAGCCAAGCAGAAGACAGGUGUUCCAGGAAGUUGAUUUUCCUGGCCGAUGUCUAGUUGGUGGAGACUGAGAAGGUCCUUUGAAUUUUCAUCUGCGCUGAAGCAAUGAGAAGAGGCAUCUCUGUCUGUCAAUAAAGGAGACAGACUACAGAUUGAUAUAGUUGCAACGAUCACAAUGAAGCAAACUCAGAAAGGAUAUUGAUGUUCUUCAGGAAACAUACUACACAGGUGCCUUGUUCUUUGGACUCAUGAACCAAUAACCUAUGUUUUGUACUGGAGCUGAGAGCUGACAAUUUUCAACAAGUCCCAUCAAUCUGACACGACAGAGGCACAAUGUGUUGACAGGAACUUUCAUAUCUAUUUUAUGCUCACACAUUGCUACCUAUUACUUCAAUUCAGGAGUUCCACCUUCAAUUUCAGCCAGACUAUUUUGGGCAAUUCCUAGUCAAUUUGGUUGUAGCAAAAUGAUAAACUUCUUUCAAUAAUUAUUUCUUCCCCUAUCAUUUCCUUUGCAUUUAAUCAUCAGAUUCGUUGCCUGUUUCUCUAUUGACCCAUAAUUUACGUAUUUUAGAGACUCAAAAGGGAUAAGUUGACCUUGCUUCCUGACAUUUUGUAUGGAUCUUGAAUUUUAUAUUCUUUCAUAUAUGGGUCACAUCCAUAUCCAACGAGCUUUCCAGAACUUUGGUCUCUUCUUAAUUUCCUCAUAAUCUUUAAUGAAACAAGGGACACCUAUUUUUCUUCUAUUUAAUUCAUAGAUUUUGAAAAUAUCUGUGCUAUAUGGUUUCCUGGGGGUUCCUAGUUAUGUGUGUGCUUAACAUAUCUGGUAAUUGCCCCAGGAAUUUCACUUAUAACUCAAGAACUCUAUGUAACUUGUGAAGCUAUCUAAAUCAACAGAAGAAAAUAGAACCAGAGGAAGUGGACGGUGAAUAGUAAAACUUGAAUUCAUAAUGAUUUAUUUUCGUUACAUUGGACCUUAAGUACUAUUUUGUUUGGCGUGACUUCAGCCAUUACAAGUCAACACCUCAUUAACCAGUUACAAUUUGAGUAACAGAAAAAGAAUGCCAAAAUUAAACUCAAUAGUUCCUGCCCUGUUUUACUGCCAUGAUACUGCCUUUCCAUUAAGUGAAACGCAAUCCUUCAUUAUCUUGUUUUGAAUAUAUAAGUUUUAUCUAAUCAUGGAUUGGGAGUUUUUAUGUGUUACCUUUCUCUCGUCCUAGAACAUUAAAAUUGUUACAGUUGAAGGAUGCACUAAACAAUAUAUAGUCAUUCAACUACAAUGAAGUGAACUGGUCCAUGGCGGGAUACUGGCAUAGACCAGCUUUCUCUUGAUUGCACAUUAUAUCUGCAGCAAUAAUUCUUGUAAUACAGUAAGAGUAAUAAUUGGGUUUCUAUAAUUAUUAAAAAGGGAAAUUAGUACUGGAAUAAUAAGUUCAUAGAUGCAAGUUUAUGCAUGAGAAUUCAGCCUACCAUGUUUAUCUAUUCUAUCAUUUCUCCUUUCUCUAUGUAAAUUAGUUUAUAUUUGGAAGAAUUUUGUUCUACUUUUUACUGAAUUCCAUCAUGUUUCAUCUACUCUCUCUGGGUUUCCUUCGAUGAGAUUACUGGUGGUGAUAUUUCUUUUUGUUUUUUUCCCCUAAAUAGUGCUUACCGAGCUUUAUAUAUCCUCAACUGGGUUUAUCGUUACUUCGCGGAGAACAAAAUCAUAUGGAUACGUAAGUUUUUUUCUGCUAUAUAUCUCGUCAAACUUAAUUCUACUUGUGGAUAUCAUUACUAACCAGCAGUUAUGUCAAAAUGUUGGAAACAGCUUGGGUUUCAGGUCUGAUUCAGACUGCCCUCUAUGCUGACUUUUUCUACCACUAUUUUAAAAGCUGGAAGAACCAUGAGAAGCUGAAGCUGCCUGCCUGAGUUGAUCAAGUCUCUUUUGGUUUAACGUUCUGCUAGCAUAAGAAGAAUGUCUCUCCCAUGGCUGUAUUUUUAAAUGACAGAUAAUUUCCUUAUUUCACUUUAAAUACGCUGAAGUUUGGCUUCAAUGCUUGCCCUGUAUUUUCUUACUAUCAUUACGCUUUCUGUACAACUUUAGCUAUAAUACGUCACUGUAUAAUUCUUCAAAAGUUUUAUGUAGAUGUAUUGAUACAACGAUAUAUUGUAGUAAAACUCCAUGCAUGCCAGUGAUUUUAGCAGUUAAGCCACAUGGGUUAUACUUGUUUUUUCAGAACAAAGCCUGUGUGUUUCUCAAGGCA